AGUCUGCAACUCGACUACAUGAAGCUGGAAUCGCUAGUAAUCGCAAAUCAGAAUGUUGCGGUGAAUACGUUCCCGGGUCUUGUACACACCGCCCGUCACACCAUGGGAGUCGGAAAUGCCCGAAGUCUGUGACCCAACGAAAGAGGGAGCAGCCGAAGGCAGGUCUGAUAACUGGGGUGAAGUCGUAACAAGGUAAC
rnacentral:rRNA from 1 species